GUACCAUGGCGGAGAAGACUCAAAAGAGUGUGAAGAUUGCUCCUGGAGCAGUCGUAUGUGUAGAAAGUGAGAUCAGAGGAGAUGUAACUAUAGGACCUAGGACAGUGAUCCACCCUAAAGCACAAAUUAUUGCAGAAGCUGGGCCAAUAGUGAUUGGCGAAGGUAACCUAAUAGAAGAACAGGCCCUGAUCAUAAAUUCUUACCCAGACAACAUCACCCCUGACACUGAAGAUCCAGAACCCAAACCCAUGAUCAUCGGCACCAAUAAUGUGUUUGAAGUUGGCUGUUAUUCCCAAGCCAUGAAAAUGGGAGAUAAUAAUGUCAUUGAGUCAAAAGCAUAUGUAGGCAGAAAUGUAAUACUGACCAGUGGUUGCAUCAUUGGGGCUUGUUGCAACCUGAACACUUUUGAAGUCAUCCCUGAGAAUACAGUUAUCUAUGGUGCAGACUGCCUUCGUCGGGUGCAGACUGAGCGGCCACAGCCCCAGACACUCCAGCUGGAUUUCUUGAUGAAAAUCUUGCCAAAUUACCACCAUCUAAAGAAGACUACGAAAGGAAGCUCAACUCCAGUUAAGAACUGAGAGCUGCAUGUGAUACUCAGAUAACUAAUGUCCUGUGUGUCUGUUGUCUUUUGAAAGCCCACAGUGUUCGUGCAUCCUUAGCAGCUCACAGCAUAAUAUGUGUUGACUUUAUGUUAUACAGUUAAGUUGGAGAGAACAGUAAUGGAUUUUCAUUGUAACUAUCCUUUGUAAUUUAUAUAAAAUGUAUUAUUUUCCUAUACUCUUGUUCCUUUUCUGAUAACUUACAAAUUUCCAUUUUUCUUUUGAUAUCUGUCAGCCACAAAUUUGUUAUGUAAAAUCUACCUGUGAUAAGAAAAGAUAUAUUGUUAUGUAUUUAUAUUCUGUCAUAUACUAAAUAAAAUUGCUGGUGGCA